CAGCAGCCGCGGGAAUACGUAGGUGGCAAGCGUUGUCCGGAAUUAUUGGGCGUAAAGGGCUCGCAGGCGGUUUCUUAAGUCUGAUGUGAAAGCCCCCGGCUCAACCGGGGAGGGUCAUUGGAAACCGGGAAACUUGAGUGCAGAAGAGGAGAGUGGAAUUCCACGUGUAGCGGUGAAAUGCGUAGAGAUGUGGAGGAACACUAGUGGCGAAGGCGACUCUCUGGUCUGUAACUGACGCUGAGGAGCGAAAGCGUGGGGAGCGAACAGGAUUAGAUACCCGUGUAGUCCCUGUCUCUUAUAC
rnacentral:rRNA from 1 species